AUCAAGUACACAUAAAAUCUUCAUUUAUUGCACACAAACAAUGAUGGAGGACUUUAACACACCAGAUUAAAAGUUUACUUCAGCCAGAAAGUAAGUGCCAUCAUUGAAGGGAGAAAUGGAUAGUAACUAAUCUUAAAAACUAAUGUCAUAUUGAUUUUACAGCAUUAAAAUUAUUUUAAAUACAGUUGUAAUGACAUCUAUUUGCUGCUUUAACCUUUAUAUCUAUAUGUAUUUCUCCACUAGCUACAGGUCCCAGUAAUUUAAGAGUCAUCCAAACACCAACAAAAAUAAAUAUAUCAACUGGAGACUACACUGAAAUCACCUGUUUUUGGGAAAAAGAUAUUAUUAUGAGAUAUAGAGUAAGUUGGUAUCUUGUUAGUAAAGCAAACAUCACUGAAAGUGUAUCAUCAAAAGUUGUCUAUGUGUCCAACAUCACCUGUGAAAACAAGGAUGUGCUAGUCAUAAAGUCUGCCAAAGUAAAUGACACUGGAUUUUACUACUGUGAGAUGAUUAUUGAAAUACCUUUCUAUAAGAAACUAUGUGGAAAUGGGACAACAGUGAUUGUUGAAGAGAAAGAAGCUGACUCACCGAAAAAACCAGAUUUGGUAAUAUGGGCCAUCGUUCCUUUCUUAGUGGCAGUGGGAGGUUUGUAUCUUUGCUACAAAAAGAAACAGUUCUCCACACUCUCUGGUGAGUGAUAAUAUUUCCAUUAACACAUAUUCUCUAAGUUAGAUGUUUGUUUUGAGACGGCUGGAGAGAUGCACUCAAAAGGUAUUUCUAAGAGGAAUUUCAGUGUAUAAUUUCUGCUCACCUGGUCCUGGUCUGCUGGGGUGCCUUGAGCUGAGGGGAGGGAUCAGAGGCACAGCCUGUAGUUCAAGUGAGUGUUCUUCCAGCCACUUGCCUCCCUUAUUUAUCUUUCUAAGGAGAGAGUGAUCACUUAGACUGAAGAUCUUGACCUGGCCGAUAUUGGAGGAUAUCAAUUCUAAAAAUUUCUGACUGAUUUCUGACUGAAAAAGUGAGAAGCCAGAAC
rnacentral:lncRNA from 1 species